UACGUAGGGUGCGAGCGUUAAUCGGAAGUACUGGGCGUAAAGCGUGCGCAGGCGGUUCUAUAAGACAGAUGUGAAAUCCCCGGGCUCAACCUGGGAAUGGCAUUUGUGACUGUAGAGCUAGAGUACGGUAGAGGGGGAUGGAAUUCCGCGUGUAGCAGUGAAAUGCGUAGAUAUGCGGAGGAACACCGAUGGCGAAGGCAAUCCCAUGGAACUGUACUGAAGCUCAUGCAAGAAAGCGUGGGGAGAACACAGGCUUCGAUACCACGGUAGUCC
rnacentral:rRNA from 1 species